GAUGAACGCUGGCGGCGUGCCUAAUACAUGCAAGUCGAGCGAACGAACGAGAAGCUUGCUUCUCUGAUGUUAGCGGCGGACGGGUGAGUAACACGUGGAUAACCUACCUAUAAGACUGGGAUAACUUCGGGAAACCGGAGCUAAUACCGGAUAAUAUUUUGAACCGCAUGGUUCAAAAGUGAAUGACGGUCUUGCUGUCACUUAUAGAUGGAUCCGCGCUGCAUUAGCUAGUUGGUAAGGUAACGGCUUACCAAGGCAACGAUGCAUAGCCGACCUGAGAGGGUGAUCGGCCACACUGGACCUGAGACACGUUCCAGACUCCUACGGGGGGCAGCAGUAGGGAAUCUUCCGCAAUGGGCGAAAGCCUGACGGAGCACCGCCGCGUGAGUGAUGAAGGUCUUCGGAUCGUAAAACUCUGUUAUUAGGGAAGAACAUAUGUGUAAGUAACUGUGCACAUCUGGACGGUACCUAAUCAGAAAGCCACGGCUAACUACGU
rnacentral:rRNA from 1 species